rnacentral:rRNA from 1 species
UACGAAGGGUGCAAGCGUUACUCGGAAUUACUGGGCGUAAAGCGUGCGUAGGUGGUUUGUUAAGUCUGAUGUGAAAGCCCUGGGCUCAACCUGGGAAUUGCAUUGGAUACUGGCAGGCUAGAGUGCGGUAGAGGGUAGUGGAAUUCCCAGUGUAGCAGUGAAAUGCGUAGAGAUCGGGAGGAACACCAGUGGCGAAGGCGACUACCUGGACCAGCACUGACACUGAGGCACGAAAGCGUGGGGAGCAAACAGG